AUUGAACGCUGGCGGCAUGCCUUACACAUGCAAGUCGAACGGUAACAGGUCUUCGGAUGCUGACGAGUGGCGAACGGGUGAGUAAUACAUCGGAACGUGCCCGAGAGUGGGGGAUAACGAGGCGAAAGCUUUGCUAAUACCGCAUACGAUCUCAGGAUGAAAGCAGGGGACCGCAAGGCCUUGCGCUCACGGAGCGGCCGAUGGCAGAUUAGGUAGUUGGUGGGAUAAAAGCUUACCAAGCCGACGAUCUGUAGCUGGUCUGAGAGGACGACCAGCGACACUGGGACUGAGACACGGCCCAGACUCCUACGGGAGGCAGCAGUGGGGAAUUUUGGACAAUGGGCGCAAGCCUGAUCCAGCCAUGCCGCGUGCAGGAUGAAGGCCUUCGGGUUGUAAACUGCUUUUGUACGGAACGAAAAGACUCUGGUUAAUACCUGGGGUCCAUGACGGUACCGUAAGAAUAAGCACCGGCUAAUUACGUGCCAGCCGCCGCAGUAAGAC
rnacentral:rRNA from 1 species